CGGUGAUGACUUGGUCUCGGGUUUAGGGGGUCUUGACUACAACAUUAGCAGCAUCCUAUAAUUCAUGACCAAUUCUCCGAGCGUAGCAGUUUAUAGGAACGAUCAGACACCCAGAAUUAUGAUGUAUGACCAGAAAAAAAG